AUUGAACGCUGGCGGCAUGCCUUACACAUGCAAGUCGAACGGCAGCACGGGGGCAACCCUGGUGGCGAGUGGCGAACGGGUGAGUAAUACAUCGGAACGUACCCAGUAAUGGGGGAUAACUACGCGAAAGCGUAGCUAAUACCGCAUACGACCUACGGGUGAAAGCGGGGGAUCGCAAGACCUCGCGUUAUUGGAGCGGCCGAUGACAGAUUAGCUAGUUGGUGAGUUAAAGGCUCACCAAGGCAACGAUCUGUAGCUGGUCUGAGAGGACGACCAGCCACACUGGGACUGAGACACGGCCCAGACUCCUACGGGAGGCAGCAGUGGGGAAUUUUGGACAAUGGGGGAAACCCUGAUCCAGCAAUGCCGCGUGUGUGAAGAAGGCCUUCGGGUUGUAAAGCACUUUUGUCCGGAAAGAAAACGUCUGUGCUAAUACCACGGAUGAAUGACGGUACCGGAAGAAUAAAGACCGGCUAACUACGUGCCAGCCGCCGCCGUAA
rnacentral:rRNA from 1 species